rnacentral:rRNA from 1 species
UAAGGAAUAUUGGUCAAUGGACGCAAGUCUGAACCAGCCAUGCCGCGUGGAGGAUGAAGGUCCUCUGGAUUGUAAACUUCUUUUAUCGGAGAAGAAACCCUAGCAUUCUUGCUGGGUUGACGGUACCCGAUGAAUAAGCACCGGCUAACUCCGUGCCAGCAGCCGCGGUAAUACGGAGGGUGCAAGCGUUAUCCGGAUUCACUGGGUUUAAAGGGUGCGUAGGUGGGCUAGUAAGUCCGUGGUGAAAUCUCUGAGCUUAACUCGGAAACUGCCGUGGAUACUAUUAGUCUUGAAUGUUGUGGAGGUAAGCGGAAUAUGUCAUGUAGCGGUGAAAUGCUUAGAUAUGACAUAGAACACCGAUAGCGAAGGCAGCUUGCUACACAAUUAUUGACACUGAGGCACGAAAGCGUGGGGAUCAAACAGGAUUAGAUACCCCGGUAGUCC